AAAUAUAUAUUUUUCUUGGAACAUUGGUAAUAAGGUUUGAUGGUAAGCCUCUUUCUGGCUUCAAAAAGCAUUUCUUUUUAUGACAAACAAUAAUGAAUAAGGCACACCAUAUUUGUACUUACCAUGCGCAAUAAGCGGUUCCACAUGGUGAGCCGGAUCUGCUCACCCUACAGUAAAGUACCCGAGACCAUAUCUUGUUUUUGUUGUUGAUCGUGUCUAUAAAUAUAUACAUUUAGAUUUCUAUGAAGUGUUUGGGCUUUAUAUUUUGGCAUUUUAUGAAGGACUUUCCG
rnacentral:lncRNA from 1 species